CAGCAGCCGCGGUAAUACGAAGGGUGCAAGCGUUACUCGGAAUUACUGGGCGUAAAGCGUGCGUAGGUGGUGGUUUAAGUCCGUUGUGAAGGCCCUGGGCUCAACCUGGGAAUUGCAGUGGAUACUGGAUCACUAGAGUGUGGUAGAGGAUAGUGGAAUUUCCGGUGUAGCAGUGAAAUGCGUAGAGAUCGGAAGGAACAUCUGUGGCGAAGGCGACUAUCUGGGCCAACACUGGCACUGAGGCACGAAAGCGUGGGGAGCAAACAGGAUUAGAUACCCCUGUAGUCCCUGUCUCUUAUAA
rnacentral:rRNA from 1 species